rfam:Photobacterium iliopiscarium strain ATCC 51761 CFSAN029430_contig0253, whole genome shotgun sequence.
UCUUUUACGAGAUGGGAGCAAAGCGGGGGACCUUCGGGCCUCGCGCGCUGAGAUUAGCCCAGGUGGGAUUAGCUAGUUGGUGGGGUAAUGGCUCACCAAGGCGACGAUCCCUAGCUGGUCUGAGAGGAUGAUCAGCCACACUGGAACUGAGACACGGUCCAGACUCCUACGGGAGGCAGCAGUGGGGAAUAUUGCACAAUGGGGGAAACCCUGAUGCAGCCAUGCCGCGUGUAUGAAGAAGGCCUUCGGGUUGUAAAGUACUUUCAGUUGUGAGGAAGGCGUUG